rnacentral:rRNA from 1 species
UACGUAGGGUGCGAGCGUUGUCCGGAAUUAUUGGGCGUAAAGGGCUCGUAGGCGGUUCGUCACGUCGGGAGUGAAAACUCGGAGCUCAACGUCCGUACGCCUCGCUUCCGAUACGGGCAGACUAGAGGUAGGCAGGGGAGAGCGGAACUCCUGGUGUAGCGGUGGAAUGCGCAGAUAUCAGGAAGAACACCUGAGGUGAAGACGGGUUGCUGGGCUGACACUGACGCUGAUGCGCGAAAGCUAGGGGAGCAAACGGG